UCUUCACUAGUAUAUCGGUUAGUAUAUUCGCCUCUCAGUAGAGAGCGCCUGGCUACGAAAGUAGCGGGCUUGACCGCGAAAGAGCAGGGUUCAACUCCCUGGUGGAGAA